UUCUCCGGUCCUGAAUGGCAACACACUCGACCUUGACGAGGGGAGCAUGGAGGACAGUGUGGACAACGAGGAAUAUGUUGAAGACAGCGAAGAAACUGAGGAAGACGAGUUGGAGGAAAGUGAAGAAGAAGACUCAUCUCCAUGUCGCCACGAACCUCGGUCCAAGCUGCAUCACGAUCCCGUGGUCACCCCGAGGAAGCCUUUGGCGCUGAGUGGCAGGAGUGCCAAACGUACUAGGGGAUCGUUUGGUGAACUAGUGGAGCAAUCUGCAAAGGUGCCCAAGCCCAGCGGACCCAAACCUCGGAAGGCUCUGCCUAGGAUGAGGAUCGCCGUGCUAGUUGCCUCUGCGUAAGUACUUGACCUUGUACUCUUAUCCGAGUGAAAAAAAAUUAGUUGGUGAUGACCGACUAGAAUUGUAUCGACAGAGCCGCUACCUCUGUGACGUCACCACUGCGAGGUGGCGAAGACCCCAUGGAGGUUGACACCGCAAAUGAAGCCACUUCUCAACUAGGUAUUGCUCUUCCAUGUGUAUGAUUUCUUGUUUGUAAUCUCUGGAGUUUCUGUCUGCCAGCCACGCCUGCUGCAAGGGAGGUCAUUCAGCUGGAUGAUGACGAUCAAAGGCAACCAGCUGCUGCGAUGGAACCUGUUGUGUCCGAGGUUCCUACGGCGGAAAUGGAUGUAGCGAUUGCUCCGUCUGUUAGUUCAGUCGUUGUCACUACGACUCCGACUCGAUUGCAGUCGAGUGUUCCAGUCGUUUCUGCUGCCGCCUCAGGAUUGAUAUCACCCGCGACCGUGUACACCACACGUCGUGUCCUUGAAGACCAGAUUGGUGCCGCCAAGGAGGCUAUGAUCCAGGCAGAGCUGAGGACGCAACAAGCAAAAACAGCCUAUGACGCCAUCGUCUCGGUGUAUAACCACAGCGUGGUGCUCCAAGACAACAUCCGAGUAAGUUCGACCGUAAGUUUGAAUUAUGACUCACACCCAGUGGGUGGUUUUGUAGAAAUGUCUUUGUUUUGUUUGUGUUCGAGUGGGGUCACUCCGAGUGAACCCAGUGGGUGUAGUUCCCGAGACCACUGUCGAGUGCUUGCACUGGCAGGGGUCUUAAUCGGUAGAUUUUUUUUUGCUGUUGAUCACAAUCAACCAGAGCUGAUUUUGUUUAUUUCUGAAUCCAGUGGGGGCACGCUAAGUGCACCCACUAGGUGUAGUCCCCGAGACUAUUAUUAGUUCUGUAGUGAAUGAUAAUAGUCUGAAGUUUUUUGAGUGUAUAAUCUUUUUAGCUCAUCAGGACAGACCUGAUCGAGUGGUAAGUCAGUGGGGUCACACUGAGUGAACCCACUGGGUGUAGUCCCGGAGACCGCUGUCCAGUGCUUGCACUGGCAGGGGUCUGAUCGGAAACAUGUCUUGUUCUUCAAUUUGGAUGAAGUUAUUAUCACUCGGAAGUGAUGUUAUUUUGACUAUAUAUCACUCGGAGGUGUUAUAUAUGUCGACUGAUGUUUGUAUUCUGACUCUUUCAAGAAGCUUGUGAAGUAGGUUCUGCGUAUGCUACCUUAGCUGCAGAAAAGACUCAACUGACUGUGAACCUGGAGACGACCACAAAUGAAGUAGCUGGUGUGAAGAAAACACUGGAGGAGAAGUACAAAGCGCUGAUAGAGGCUCAGGCAACCAGUAAGAGUUUGCAGGUGGAUGUGGAGAAAAUGCAGAAUGAGCGAAAGAAGUGGAUGACCCAACUGAGGGAUAUGAGCAAGAGGGCGAAUGCUCAAGAGAAGUACGUGGAGGACUUUGCCACCAAGAUGCUGGAGUUACUCACUGAGUUUUGUCAAGACUUGGAGAAGGAAACUGAGGAGGUUGAGCCAUCGCUUGAUCUAGUCAACACUACACUCAGUGACGGCCCAGCUUUGAAUCUUUUUCGUAUGAGGUCCCGACUGACGAAGGUGGAGAAGUAUGUCACGCGACUGAGAGCUACUGUGAGCAAGAUUGACAAGGAGCUAUGGCCAGAGGAUGAACUCCGGCAUGACCUGGAGGCUAUGAUGACUCGAAUGGAGCAGAUUCCUCAACGGGUUCAAGCGUGGUAGAAGUCUGUUGCUCAGUGUGGGGCGUACGUAGCUUUGUCACUCGUCAGGGUCCAUUGCAAGGAGACUCGAGAGGAGAAGUUGAAGGCGUUGCAGGUUGCGAACAUGAAGAAGCUUCAUUUUGAAGACUACAUGGAGACCUUCAUUGGUGCCGCAACUCGUAUCGCUGACGUCAGAGACCUCGAUACCUUUGUGGAGCCAGCCAGUCCAGGUGAGUCCUGAGGAGGUUGAUCACUCGUGAGAAAAAUAGUUAUUUGCCUCGGUAUGCCGAGUGGUUCUUGUAAACGCUUAAUACUUUGUUCGGGUAAUAACCCGAGUGCUUUUGUCCUGCGCGGAUAAGCUUGAUCUACGCCUGGUAUUAUUUAUUUUCUCA